rnacentral:lncRNA from 1 species
CAUAGCUCCAUAGAGAAGUUGGCAGUUUCGGGGUGCCCCAUAGGGCCAUGGUUUGUUUCGGGGCUCCCCAUAGGUCCAUCAAUGUGUGGUGGUUUUGGGGUGCCCCAUAGGUCCAUGGAGAAGUUGGUGGUUUUGGGGCUCCCCAUAGGUCCAUCAAUGUGUUGGCAGUUUUGGGGUACCCCAUAGAUUCUUGGACGUGUUGGUGGUUUCAGGGUGCCCCAUAGGUCC